rnacentral:rRNA from 1 species
UACGUAUGGUGCAAGCGUUGUUCGGAAUCAUUGGGCGUAAAGGGUGUGUAGGCGGAUUUGUAAGUCAGGUGUGAAACCUUCGAGCUCAACUCGAAGCCUGCACUUGAAACUACAAAUCUGGAAUUUGGGAGAGGCAAGCGGAAUUUCUGGUGUAGCGGUGAAAUGCGUAGAUAUCAGAAGGAACACCGAUGGCGAAGGCAGCUUGCUGGCCUAAAAUUGACGCUGAAACACGAAAGCGUGGGUAGUGAAC